UACGAGUGCCCCAAGCGUUAUCCGGAAUUAUUGGGCGUAAAGGGUGCGUAGGUGGUGGUAUUAGUCUUGUGUUAAAAUCCCCGGCUUAACCGGGGGAUCGCAUAGGAAACGGGUACCACUAGAGUAUGUGAGAGGUGCGUAGAACUCAUGGAGUAGGGGUGAAAUCCGUUGAUAUCAUGGGGAAUACCAAAAGCGUAGGCAGCGCACUGGCACAUUACUGACACUGAAGCACGAAAGCGUGGGUAGCGAAUGGG
rnacentral:rRNA from 1 species